UGGGGAAUUUUGGACAAUGGGCGAAAGCCUGAUCCAGCAAUGCCGCGUGUGUGAAGAAGGCCUUCGGGUUGUAAAGCACUUUUGUCCGGAAAGAAAUCCUUGGCUCUAAUACAGUCGGGGGAUGACGGUACCGGAAGAAUAAGCACCGGCUAACUACGUGCCAGCAGCCGCGGUAAUACGUAGGGUGCAAGCGUUAAUCGGAAUUACUGGGCGUAAAGCGUGCGCAGGCGGUUUGCUAAGACCGAUGUGAAAUCCCCGGGCUCAACCUGGGAACUGCAUUGGUGACUGGCAGGCUAGAGUAUGGCAGAGGGGGGUAGAAUUCCACGUGUAGCAGUGAAAUGCGUAGAGAUGGUGGAGGAAUACCGAUGGCGAAGGCAGCCCCCUGGGCCAAUACUGACGCUCAUGCACGAAAGCGUGGGGAGCAAACAGGAUUAGAUACCCUGGUAGUCCACGCCCUAAACGAUGUCAACUAGUUGUUGGGGACUUCAUUUCCUUAGUAACGUAGCUAACGCGUGAAGUUGACCGCCUGGGGAGUACGGUCGCAAGAUUAAAACUUAAAUGAAUUGACGGGGUCAUAGCUGUUUCCU
rnacentral:rRNA from 1 species